UAUUGUUCCGCUCCCGGCCUCCGCCCUUCCCCUUCCCGCCCGCUCCCCUUUUCCCCUCAGUCGCCUCUCACCUCCAGUUUUUGGCUUUCACCCCCACCAGUGACCAAAGACUUGACCACUCAAAGUCCAGCUCCUCAUAACUGCUAGACAUGGACACCGGUGUGAUUGAAGGUGGAUUAAAUGUCACUCUCACCAUCCGGCUACUUAUGCAUGGAAAGGAAGUUGGCAGUAUCAUUGGAAAGAAAGGAGAAUCUGUUAAGAAGAUGCGCGAGGAGAGUGGUGCAGUAUCAACAUCUCAGAAGGGAAUUGUCCUGAGAGAAUUAUCACUUUGGCUGGACCCACUAAUGCCAUCUUCAAAGCUUUUGCUAUGAUCAUUGACAAACUGGAAGAGGAUAUUAGCAGCUCUAUGACCAAUAGCACAGCUGCCAGUAGACCCCCGGUUACCUUACGACUGGUGGUUCCUGCUAGUCAGUGUGGCUCUCUCAUUGGAAAAGGAGGUUGCAAGAUCAAGGAAAUAAGAGAGAGUACAGGGGCUCAGGUCCAAGUGGCAGGGGAUAUGCUCCCCAACUCAACUGAACGGGCUAUCACUAUUGCUGGCAUUCCGCAAUCGAUCAUUGAGUGUGUCAAACAGAUCUGCGUGGUCAUGUUGGAGACUCUCUCCCAGUCCCCCCCGAAGGGCGUGACCAUCCCGUACAGGCCCAAGCCCUCGAGUUCCCCAGUCAUCUUUGCAGGUGGUCAGGCCUAUACCAUUCAAGGACAGUAUGCCAUUCCACAGCCAGAUUUGACCAAGCUGCACCAGUUGGCAAUGCAACAGUCUCAUUUUCCCAUGACGCAUGGCAACACCGGAUUCAGUGGCAUUGAAUCCAGUUCUCCAGAGGUGAAAGGCUAUUGGGGUUUGGAUGCAUCUGCUCAGACUACUUCUCAUGAACUCACUAUUCCAAACGAUUUGAUUGGCUGCAUAAUCGGGCGUCAAGGCGCCAAAAUCAAUGAAAUCCGUCAGAUGUCUGGGGCGCAGAUCAAAAUUGCGAACCCAGUGGAAGGAUCUACUGAUAGGCAGGUUACCAUCACUGGAUCUGCUGCCAGCAUCAGCCUGGCUCAGUAUCCUAAUCAAUGUCAGGCUUUCCUCCGAGACGGGUGGAAUGGGGAGCAGCUAGAACAGUACAGAUUCACCCAUAAUCCCUUUCUGCUGUUCACCACCACCCAUGAUCCAUCUGUGUAGUUUCUGAACAGUCAGCGAUUCCAGGUUUUAAAUAGUUUGUAAAUUUUCAGUUUCUACACACUUUAUCAUCCACUCGUGAUUUUUUAAUUAAAGCGUUUUAAUUCCUUUCUCUGUUCAGCUGUUAUGCUGAGAUCCAUAUUUAGUUUUAUAAGCUUCUCCCUUUUUUCCAGGUUUUUUUUUUAUGUUUUGUUUUUGUUUUUUUUGUUUUUAUUUAUUUUUUUUGGGCUCAUGAAUUUUUGUUUGUCAUGGAAAUGUAAGAGUGGAAUAUUAAUACAUUUCAGUUUAGUUCUGUAAUGUCAGGAAUUUUUCAAAAAAAUUAAAAGAUGGACUGGAGCUUUUUCUUUGUGAAUAGAAACUGGAUGCCACAGUGA